rnacentral:rRNA from 1 species
GACGAACGCUGGCGGCGUGCUUAACACAUGCAAGUCGAACGGAAAGACCCUGCUCUUGUGGCGCUCUCGAUUGGCGAACGGGGGAGUAACACGUGAGUAACCUGCCCUUGAAUUUGUGGUAAAUUUACGAAACUCGGGCGCAUACCGGAUAUGAUCUCCUGAUGCACGGGGGUGGAUGGUAAAUUUCGGUUGUUGGGGAUGGAUUCGCGGGUUAUCCGCUUGUUGGUGAGGUAGUGGCUUACCAAGCCUUUGACGGGUAGCCGGCCUGAGAGGGUGACCGGCGACAUUGGGCCUGAGAGAGGGCCCAGACUGGUACGGUAGGCAACAGUGGGGAAUCUUGACCAAUGGGCGGAAGCCUGAUGCAGCAGCGCCGCGUGCGGGAUGACGGCCUUCUGGGGGAAAACCGCUUUCGCCUGUAACGAAGCGUGAGUGACGGUAAUGGAUAAAGAAGCACCGGCUAACUACGUG